UAUAUGGUACCUCCAUCCCUUCUGGCAAAGGAGGGCCCCUUAUUUACAAAUGACCACAAAGUGUUAGCACCACAUUUUAUUAGCAGAACAUGUGAACACGUGGUGACAGUGACGCUCACCUGUUUGCUUCUGCUUCCCAGUGCAACUUCAGCCUCCAUCAGAGGACCUCAGCUGCCCCAGCGAACAGGGCCUUCUGUACAGGGAAUGUGCUCCUCCUCGAAGCAUAGACAAGAAGCAGCCCUUAGAUCUCAUCAGGAAAUUCUACGGAGAGAAGGUCGGAAUCUACUUUGCUUGGGCUGGGCUAUUACAUUCAGAUGCUCCUCCUGGCAGCAGUCGUGGGGGUGACUUGCUUUCUGAAGAAGAGCGUGUUCCAUUUACCACCUGGGGAAAGUGUAUACAUAUAACCCUUUGUGCAAGUGCUCUUUUUCUGGAACCUGAAUGGAGGCGACCAGUUCCGGAAGUACUUGACUGUGCAGGUGGGCCAUGCCCAUCACUGCUUCCCUCAUCAGUUUUAUCAUCAUCGUGACCCUGAACACCAUAUAUGAGAAAGUGGCAAUCAUGAUGACUGACUCUGCUACAGAGAUCCCAAGGACCAGACUGACUGUGGGAACAACCUAGCCAUGAAGGUGUUCUUCUUCCAGUUUGUCAACUACUACUCCUCGUGUUUCUACAUCACAUUCUUUAAGGGCAGAUUUGUGACUUAUCCUGGAGAUCUGGUGUAUUGGCUGUGAAAAUACAGAAAUGAAGACGUGUGAAUACAGCUUUGUGUUCGGACAGUCUAACCUGUUUCAUGUUUUCUCUUAGUUGCCCAAUGAAGAGUGUCUUUACUCUCUGUUCCUUAGAUUUUUUUAGGCAUAAAAUAAUGACUUUAUUUCAUGUUAGAGCUAUCUAAAAUUUAAAUGAGAUUUUCUUUCUAAUAUUCCAGUGUGACCCAGGUGGCUGUCUCCUUGAACUGAUGAUGCAGCUGACAAUAAUCAUGGGAGGACAGUCCAUCUGGAAUAACAUACAAGAGGUGUUACUUCCGUGCUUCUCAUGUGUAAGUUGGUAUCCCUGCACGAGAACCAUAAAUCAACAGAAAACCCAAAAGACCGAGGACAAUGAUGGGUAGACGACAGCCCAAUCUUUUCUGCCACAGAAGAGUGGUUCCACUCAGGAAGACUGAGCAAGAGGCUCAGAGCCUUAGCUAAGGACAAGCAAGUCGGGACUUCUAAUACGACCUAAUGCCAUCGACGGGGGAGGGCAGUUCAGCACAAGAAGGGAGCACCGGGUGAGUUAACAUGGAAGUUACAUCCUGGAUCCAAACCGUGAUGGAUUUGGGUCCCGGAGGGUUAAAGCCCUCCUUCCGUGGGGCUUGGACCGCAUUCCACAAGAGGCUGAGACAGGAAU